rnacentral:piRNA from 1 species
CAGGAGUUCACUGCUACCUUCCCUCGAGC